AAAAAAAAAAACCGUACUGUUCCCUCCGUCUCGACCUGGACUGGUUACGAGUGUUGGAAAAGAAGCUCGCGCGAAAGGCCUAACUCAACCACCGAAGAUUCAAACAUAUAUAUUUGAUUUAACUCUUAUGAUAAACGUUUCAAAAUAUUUUAACAAUAUUCUUUAGUAGGUUUUUAAACACGAUCAAUGUUUUUCGUAGUAAUUUUUAAUCAUUUGCUACAAUUUUAUGGGAAAUUGCAAGAAGCCUCGGAGUCGAGUUAAAGCAAUGGCCGGACAACUGACACUGAAUUUCGCGUCUAAGAAGUCAUUUCAGACCGCCAUUUCCAAUGAUCCAGACUGAAUAAGGGGGGGAAAUGAAGGAAUUCGUGUUUUGCCACGGAGGCAGGAUCAGAUUAUCUGCUUAAAGAGUGCUAAGGUGGAGUAAAGCGUGAUAAUGGAGCCAGUUGAGUGCAGAGCGGUCAUCAGGUUCCUUUACUUGAGAGGCCGCACACCAAAGGAGAUGUUUGACGAGUUGAAAGAGACUUGUGGGGAGGAUGCCCCAUCAUAUGACACAGUCAAGCACUGGCAUCGUAAGGUCAAGUGUGGUUGGACAUCGGCGGAAACGGCUCCCAUUCUCGGGUGACCAUGGUCCACCAUUGAUGACACCAUCCGGCAAGUGGAGGCCGCCAUUUUGGAGGAUCGCCACAUAACCGUUCGCCAGCUAGCCCAAGGUGUCAAGAUCAGUGUGGGGUCUGUGGAAAAAAUCACCCAUGACCAUUUGCACAUGCGGAAGUUGUCUGCACGAUGAAUUCCCUGGUUGCUCACACCUUUCCAGAAGCAGGAACGAGUCAAGCCAUGUGCCAAGAAAACCAGGAGGACUUUUUCGACAGACUAAUCACGCAGGACGAAGCAGGCACGUGUCCAACCCUCGGUGGGUAAGGUCAUGCUCACGGUCUUUGGGACCAGCACGGAGUAGUGAUGAAUUUCCUGGUGAAGGGUACCACCGUUAUUGGGACAUGCAAUGCUUCACUGCUGCAGAAAAUGCGGGAGGCCAUCAUAACUGAGAGGCAUGGCAUGCUGACCAAAAGGGUCCGCCUCCUGCAAGACAGCGCCCCGGUUCACAACUCCUCUGUUGCUCAGACGGAAGCACGGUCAGGGCUAGAAUUUUGGCGCGAAUCGAUUCGCGUAAAUUGUUCCCCAGGCGAAUCUCAACGGAUUCGCGCAAAAUAUUCAAGAAAUAUCGUAAUUUUAUCGUAAAAUAUCAAAGUAAUCACUUCAACACAAAAAUUCCACAAUCGGUUUCGAUAAACAAACGUUCUGCGCAUGUGCAAAGUGUUUUUCACUCGCUUGGUGUCGCUUGCAUGUAGUCCGCCGAGUACUCGCCAGGUGGCGUUUGUUGUCAGGAAUAACAAGAUGGUGUACUCCAGCUCAAGUGAUAGUCAGCCAAACACCUCGAAAUCCGUUGAAAAAACGAAAAGAAUAUCGCGGCGUGGUUUACAGGCGUGGGGCGAUGACCUACUAGACAAUUAUGACUUUGAAGAAAAUUUCGCGGUCAAGGCGAGGUGUAAGACAUGCAGCCUGCACUAUGACUGAAUCAAAGCGCGGUGGGCAUUCUGUUUCACGGUUGAUGAUCGUCACGCAUAUAAUGAUAUAUAGCCCGUAGGUCGCGUUAACCGACAAUCGUCCGUCAUUGACGGAUUUUUUUUAGCUAUGACGGAAAAAUCCGAAGGCCGUUGGUCAUUUUGACGGAUGUUUACCGCUACCAUUACCAAUAAAAAUAAUAGCCUAAUAAUAACAAUAAUAAAACAUAAUGAGAAACAAUUGAAAUGAUUGGCAACUUGUGGCAGAGUUUUCUUACAUACAGUAUACAUAGUCUUCACUGUCGUCACUUUCAAUCUGAGCCGACGUUGCGGCAGUCUGGAUGUUCAGUGCACAGGCUGCUCAUGUAUACACUGUAGCCACUGCGCAAGGCUGUUCCGCCCAUCGCGCACCUGAGAUGUAUUAAUGUUUCCCUUCUCUGCAGAAGACGCGUCAUUUUUGCUAUUAAAAAAAAGAGAUGCAUUGGGUUGUUUGUGUCGUUUCCCUGCCUGUACGUCUUAAUGCAAUAGCGCUCAUUUAGGCUAGUUGUUUUCUUGUUUUUAAAAUGAAACAAAUGUCGAUUUAUUGUAUUCUUCCCCAGCAAGCUUAGGAACUAGGGCUGUAAUGAUAUGCAAAUUGAAAUCGCGAUACGCAGAGCCACGAUCCGUAUCGCGAUACAAGAAGGCAGAAUCGCGGUACACCCUUUCAAACUUCUCCUCAGCCCAAAAACAGAGGCGCUUCCAAACUUCAAUUUAUGAAUACUUUACUUUUUAUUUAAAUUACAUUUUAAACUUACUUAAAUUACUUUUAUUUUUUAUAUCUAUUAGUAAGUCGUUUUUUCGCCGACCUGCGACAAUCUUCUGCGAGUCACGCAACGUCCACACUCGCCACUGGCAGAGCAUUCAUUUCUUUUAAGCGGUCGCCAUUCUGGUUGCGACGCGGGGAGCGAAUCUGUAAACAAGCAGCUCAUUGGCUGGCUAGGUGUGCCACAAGCCAAUCACAAUCACUUGACCGGAAAGGCAUGCAGUGUUGCCAGAUUGGGCAGGUUUAGGCGCUUUUUGGCUGGUUUUGAACAUAUUUUGGGGUGGAAAACGUUAGCAAUAUCUGGCAACACUGAAGGCAUGUCUGCUUGGGCGGAAGCCUUCUGCGGCAGUUACAUUUUGACACGCGAGCAAUGUUUCACCAUAAAAAUUCCGUAAUUUCCAUCUGUUUUCCGCGAUCACAGAAAAUCAUCGGCCCUAUGAGAGUGAGACAGUGAGAGAGCCCUCCCCCCAAAAAAAAUCUUAACGGAUUUACACGAUUUGGAAAAAUGACUUUUUCAGAACCGAAAAAAACAGAGCUUCCGGCUCAACAGUAUUAUUUUGAGAAAUAAAACAAUCUUUGGAUAUACAUUUGUUCAUUUUUGCAUACAUAUUACUCAUUCUCUGCAGUGGUCUGAAUUAUUUGUUAUUAAAUAGUUAAUGUAAGUAAGUAAAUGUUAAGUCAAAUUUACUACUUUAAAAAAACAUUUUUUUAAAAAAUCGUGGGCGUAUCGAAUCGUGGGUCAAAAAUCGCGAUACGAAUCGAGUCGUGAGUUGGGUGUAUCGUUACAGCCCUAUUAGGAACAUCACUGCUCGAAUAUCUGCUAAACUAUCAUUUUAAUGAGAGCACGGGUAGACAAACUAACAUUUAAACUAGGGCUGUCAAAAGAUUAAUUUUCUUGAUCGCAACUAAUCUCAGAAAUUUCAUAGUUAAUCGCGAUUAAUCUUGAUUUACUUUGCAUGUGUAAAAUUGAUAUUUUGCAGUAAGACCGUUCGAAUCUAAAGUUAAACCCACAAUGCAAAGUAUUUCUGACCAUUGUGUCUUAAAUUGGAAUAAAAUGAAGACAGAGACAAAAGCAGAAUUUAUCUUUUGGCCUUUAUUUCAAAAAGAGUGUAGAGAAAGGAAAACAAGUAUUAAGAAUGAAUGACUGGCUACUGCUUGACACAGGGUGCAUUUUACUCUCGUCUUGUCGACUUGUCCGUCUGGAUGUUUUUUAAAUUCAAACAAACCAUUCAGAGGUCCAGAAAACCGUUGCUUAUCCAUCACAAAAGAGGACUAAACUGAAGACAACAGCGUGUCCUUCCAUGCCAAUGCCAACGACUCGAUGGAAACCACACGCUUCCGCUCGAGCUGCCUACGGAUGCGUAGAAGGAACAAAAGACUAGCAAACUCGAAAUAGCGCGUUUAACCGAAAAUGAGUUUAAUUAAUACAACCAGAGGAGCUGCAUGUGGAUGGUAGAAGUGCGGAAAAUGCUGGUAAACUCUGAUCGCGAUUAAAAAAAAUAUUCGCGAUCACAAUUUACAUUAAUCUAAUCGCGAUUAACGCGUUAAUAUUCCCAGCCCUAAUUUAAACAUAACUUCGUUUUAUUUAAGACCUUCCGUGUCAGGUUCCAGGCUCCGCGGGGUGCAGCUGCACCACUGGUGCAGAAAGACCGCAUGCUGCAGGAUUUCCUCCCUAUGAAGAGAGAGUACUAGCAGGGUCGGGAAAUCCAACUUUCAGAGGCUCUUGCCGGCUUCUGAUCACUUCCCUGGGAGAAAUGUUUCCCGACUUCAGAACUUUGGCUGAAGUGGCGCUGGUUAUUCCAGUCUCCAGUGUCGCAGCAGAGCGUGGGUUCAGCCUUCAGAAUAAAAUUAAAACGUCAAUGAGAAGUCGUCUGUCCGAGGCAAAGACGCAAAAUUUAAUGACAAUUGCCUCGGCAGCAGUCUCCAUUGACGACUUUGAUUAUGCACAAGCGAGCUCCCAAUUUAAAUCCAUGCGGGCCAGAAGGAAGGUUCGAGCUCACGCAAACAGGUCAAAUUAGAUUGUCACUUAAAUCGUUGUAGUGGACUGUUCAUAUUUUAACUGCAAUUGUCUUGCUACGUUGUAAAAUAACAUUGUUCGUACGCCCGUUAAGGCACAACAGCCGCAAUGUUUUUAGCGGAGGGAAAAUGGGUUCACAAGUGACCGAACGUCAGAAUCUCUGUUCUUCUUUUUGCAUCAUAAAUACAUAAAUAAAUGAUUAAAUAAUACAAGCUUGUUCUGUGAAUUAAUUUUUAAAUGAAAAUGAGUCCAUGAAAACACAAGUUAUUAAAUAUAUAGCAUUCAUAGCCUAUAUACACUGUCAUUUAAAAGUUGAAAUAAAAUGACAGAUAAUAAUGGACAAUGACGGAAUUUUUACGACCCUGUCCGUCAAAAUGACAGACCAAUGAAAAAGUCUGACGCAACCACUGAUAUAGCCUAUACAGGAGUCUGACACACACACACACGCACUAGUGCAGUCAUUCGGAAUCAGAAAGACAAGACCAAUGAAAUGAAUAAAUAUAUGAUAAACACACAAAAAUACAGGUUACUGACAUUCAGAUGUUCUGUUCAGUUUUUGAUGAUUAAGGAUUGAAAUAGUCAUGUUUGUUACUGUGAAUAACUGUAUUGUAAUGUUUACUGUAUUUGCGGCAGGCUUUUGAAGAUGUUGUUGUCCUCGGCUCCAUUCUUCAGUUGUUGACUUGAUGAUUAAGGAGUGAAAUAAAGUGAUGGUGUGUAUAAAUGUUUUAA